UACGAAGGGGGCUAGCGUUGCUCGGAAUCACUGGGCGUAAAGCGCACGUAGGCGGAUCUUUAAGUCAGGGGUGAAAUCCUGGAGCUCAACUCCAGAACUGCCUUUGAUACUGGGGAUCUUGAGUUCGGGAGAGGUGAGUGGAACUGCGAGUGUAGAGGUGAAAUUCGUAGAUAUUCGCAAGAACACCAGUGGCGAAGGCGGCUCACUGGCCCGAUACUGACGCUGAGGUGCGAAAGCGUGGGGAGCAAACAGG
rnacentral:rRNA from 1 species